UGGGGAAUAUUGGACAAUGGGCGCAAGCCUGAUCCAGCAAUGCCGCGUGAGUGAUGAAGGCCUUCGGGUCGUAAAGCUCUUUUACCAGGGAUGAUAAUGACAGUACCUGGAGAAUAAGCUCCGGCUAACUCCGUGCCAGCAGCCGCGGUAAUACGGAGGGAGCUAGCGUUGUUCGGAAUUACUGGGCGUAAAGCGCACGUAGGCGGCGACACAAGUCAGAGGUGAAAGCCCGGGGCUCAACCCCGGAACUGCCUUUGAAACUAGGUUGCUAGAAUCUUGGAGAGGUCAGUGGAAUUCCGAGUGUAGAGGUGAAAUUCGUAGAUAUUCGGAAGAACACCAGUGGCGAAGGCGACUGACUGGACAAGUAUUGACGCUGAGGUGCGAAAGCGUGGGGAGCAAA
rnacentral:rRNA from 1 species